rnacentral:rRNA from 1 species
UACGUAGGUGACCAGCGUUGUCCGGAUUUACUGGGCGUAAAGAGCGCGCAGGCGGUCGUUCAAGUCGAGUGUGAAAGCCCCCGGCUCAACUGGGGAGGGUCACUCGAUACUGAUCGACUUGAAGGCAGGAGAGGGAAGCGGAAUUCCCGGUGUAGUGGUGAAAUGCGUAGAUAUCGGGAGGAACACCAGUGGCGAAGGCGGCUUCCUGGCCUGUUCUUGACGCUGAGGCACGAAGGUCAGGGGAGCAAACGGG